ensembl:lncRNA
CUGUCGGGCUGCUUGGGGACGGCUCCGCCUCGUAAAGCAGUUUUUUCUCUGCCCAUUUGCUCCCUCUCCUUUGUCUCUGGGGUUCCACGUGCGACAAUCAGUUGACAUGUCCGCCCAGGUAGCCCUGAGGCUCUGCUCCUCUUUCGUUUUGUCUUCCUCUUCUCUGGGCUGGAUAGUUCCUAUUCAUCUCCUUGCUCACGAGACCUUUUUCUGCUCUUGAGACCCUCCAGUGAAUCGCUCCUUUCAGACACUGUGUUCUCUCGUUCUGGACUUUCUAUCAGGUUGUUUGAUAGAGUUUCUGUCCCUACUGAGAUUCCCCACGACAUCCUCGGGGCCCUGGCACUGUUGACAGUGGCUGCGUUGACGUGUUCGUCUGGAGCCCACGAGGCAUCUCUGGGUCUGCUUCUCCUGAUCUGUCUUUCUUGUCUUGAGUAUGGCCACUUCUUCUGCUUCCUUCCUUCUUCCCACGUCUGCUCUUUUGCUCUAAGAUUUGUGUGAGAAGUGUACCUAGAGGGCCCGGCAGAGUGCCCUGGUGUAUGCCUCAUUGGUGCUGCCCUGGCGGCAGCCGGGAUUGAGGACUGAGGAGCAACUUCUGUCAGGCCCUUGAGUUUGCCUGUGGCAGGCAGGUAUGGAGGCCUGGUCUGUUGCUUUGGGUCCGUUUUUGUUCCAUUUGGUCCCGUUGUGGCCUUUCCUCUCAUUCCUAAGGCCUGGCCUUCUGGGGUCUCAGCUUGUGCUUGUGAUGCCCUGGAGGACCCCACUUGGAUCAGGGUGGAGGGGGGGGCGGAACGCAGCAUCUCCCUUCUCUGCUCUUCGCUGGGCCUCAGGCCUCUUGCUCUGCCUCUGUGGAAGGCAGCCUCAGACAAGGAUGCUCAGUGGCCCCUCAGAUUCUGGGAGCAACUGCAACCCUGGACGCUGGUCUGUGUCCUCGUCUCAGAGAGAUCAGGAUUCACCUUGGGCCCCACCUCCAGGGUCGGGGAAACGUCCCCAGGUAGAAAGCCAGCUGACAUGGCCUGUGGCUCACAGUAGCUCUGCCUGCCAUGCAACGCCUGAAAACAGUUGUCCCUGUAUCUGUCCAAUUUUAUAGCUGUUUGUGGCAGGAGGGCACGUCUAGUACCGGUCACUCUGCCAUGGCCAGAAGUGGAAGUGUCCUACCUGGUAACCAAGGGCCUGCAGGUGGGGACAGGGCAGAGAGGACACGCUUGCUCCGAGCGUUGGACAGUAAACACUACCACUUGCUGGGGCACCGACAGCAGAAUUCAAACCUGGAAUUGCUGUAAACCAGGGAACAGGCAGUGCAUGUUGCAGGACACGCAGACCAACCAGCCCCUCCCUGAGUGCAAGGUGUUGUGGCCAGCGUACCCCGCCAGAUGCCGCUGAUUAAAGAGCUCAGGAGAGGAAGGCAGACGACGCCUCCGUGCGCUCCCUCCUGCAGCCCCCUCGGCUUUGGGAGGAACUGGAUCACGGAGCGUGUUUCACGGAGGCCUCUCCAGCUUUGAAAGCUGUGCUGUGAGCAGCACAGCCUGGGUGUGGAGCAGGCAAUCAUGCACCUGGAGUUCGAGGAUUUGACCUGCUCACAGCUGCAGGUGGAGCUUGUCCGGGACAGGCGUCCUGGGGCAGAAGGGGCUGCAGGCCAUGGAGGAGCUGUGCUGGUGGCUUCCCGCAGGCUGAUCUUAAUGAAGAGACCUCAGAGAGAUGAGAUAAACCUGUACCCGGGGCAGCAUCUUGUCCUGAUGUCUCAUCGUGAAUAAGUCUAUCAGAUCUCCUCUUGGGGGUGAGGCUGGGUGGAGACGGCAGAUCUGCACGGUGGAGAAAAGAGAAGAAGGCCAGCACAGUGGCAUUGAGGAAUCCAGGGAGCUCCUGGCCAACUUGGCCUGAGUCUUGCAUUUCAGAUGAAAAAAGGAAAACUGUGCUUCUGAGCCCACUCGCUGCGGAGCCUGCCAUCGGCGAUAAUUUCAGCACAGUGAGUCAACCUCCAGGGACCGUGCCGGCCAGGUCCCCCUCUGUCGGCACCUGGGCACGUGUGCGAGCUCAGCCGCCCCUCCCUGGGCUGCCUGCCUGGGAACAGCUGCUGUGUCCUGACCCAGCCGGCAGCUGUGACCUUGUGGGUCCCAGAGAGCCCUGCGAUCUCAGUGGCCUGGCCACUCAGGCUUAGGGCCACUGUCAGUCAUGGAGGGUCUCACCCAGGACCCUCACCCGGAGAGGGAAAUCUCUUUGUCCAGGAAGCAGCUGCUGGAAACGUCUGAGCCCCAGAGAGACUGAGCUGUGACCUGGACCCCUACUUUGUGAGGGCACCUAGUUUGUUUCAUAGGAGUGUGUGCUCCUGGGGGCUGAACACGGAGCCCCCGGGGUGGCCUGGGGCCCUCACUGAGCAUCCUCAUACUGGGCCUCGUCGGGGGCUCACUUCCUCCCUUGUGCCCACCUGCCUGACCCGACCACACUGAAAGGCGGUCUGCUGCUGUGACCACAGGGGUGACCAGGGGUGGAAUGGCUGGGCCAAGGGCGGCCAGGCUGCCCCAAACCUGGACAUCCGCCUGCCAGGCAAUGGUUGCCUGAUAUCUUCAGAUGCGAAUGUGUGGUUUGGCUCCGGAGGCUGGAGAGUGGGGUGGGCGCCUGGCUCCUGCUGACCUCUGGGGUUGGUGGGCAAAUUAGUAAGAGGAUUCACACAGACAGCUGUCCCAGGACCCAGGGACCUGGAGGAAGAAGGCGCCUCUGAGCAGCAGGUGAGGAUGGCCGGGGCCCUGUGUGUGGCAGUGCCACACGUGUCGGCCACGUUCCUGCCUCUUCACCUGGCUGUGGCUACUGACUGGCUGCCCCAGGGCCAGAGGCUUAAAAGCAGACGACUCCUGGGCACCACAGGAUGGCUGUGGGGCCGUUUCCAGGAGCUGUGGCUGUCCAGUGGACAGGUCAUAUUCUGGCCGGGGUCCAUAGCCCAGAUAACCAGCCACGUCUCCCCAGAGGUGCAGAAUGUCCCGCCCUACAGUCCAUCCCGCAACAGCCUGGGACCUCAGUGACUGAGCCAGCCCCUGCUGAUACACCCUCACCGUCUGACCCGGCCUCUCCUCGGCCCUGCACCUGUGUGCAGAAGACCCAGAAGAUUCCGGGGCCCCAUGGCACACGCAGGCUGGGGAUGAGGCCACAGAGACCCCAGGAGGGAGUUGAGGGCUGGGAGGAGGCCUUACUCUGAGGUCCCUGCCUCCCACAGCUGGGUUCUGUGCUGAGGUCCCGGCCCUGAGAGGCGAGGCGGGUGCAGCGCCCGGCUCUGUGAGGAGGAGGGCACCAGGACCCCAUACCUGUGCCAACAGGGGCAGGUGUCCUGGAUUAUGGGGGAGAGGGGGCUGGCCAGCACAGCAACCAGACCUCUGGCACUGGCAAGGUCAGCACCAAGCCCGGCCCGCCGCGGCCGCCAGAAAUCCUCCUUUCCAACUCCGCUCGCGGGGUGGCAGCUGCCAGUGCUAUUUGGGGACUAAGCUGUGCCCACUUUCUGGCCCUUUGAGUCCUUGUCUGGUGCGAAUUACGCGCUAAUCUGCAUGCUUAGCUGUCCCUGAGAGCUCUACUCCUGGGCCCGCUCGGUCGCCCAGGAGACCCCUCACACCCACAAGGCCUGGCCCCCCCCCCCCCCCCCGCCAGGGAAGAAAGGGUGUUGGCUCUGGAUCCACAGGUCAUGCACAUGUGGGGGAAAGAGUGUGACGAGCACACAGCUUUACCCCAACUGAGUGGGGGCGGCUGUCAGAAAAUCACACUAAGCGGGACAUGCCCUCUGUGACAGCUUCCCUCAGUCCCCUCAGGAGUGUGGGAUGGAGAGAUGGAG